GACGAACGCUGGCGGCGUGCCUAACACAUGCAAGUCGAACGGAAAGGCCCUGCUUGCGUGGGGAGCUAGAGGGGCGAACGGGUGAGUAACACGGGAGUAACCUGCCCUGGACGUUGGGAUAACUUCAGGAAAGUGGGGCUAAUACAGGAGAGGAGCUCCUGCAGCAUGGUGGGGGUCGGAAAGUUUCGGAGGAUGGGGAUGGACUCGCGGCUUAUCAGCUUGUGGGGGGGGUAGUGGCUUACCAAGGCUUGGACGGGUAGCCGGCCUUAGAGGGUGACCGGCCUCAUUGGUCCUGCGCUACGCCCCAGUCUCCUACGGUCGGCAGCAGUGGGGAGUAUUGCACAAUGGGCCGAAGCCUGAUGCAGCGACGCCGCGUUCGUGAUGCCCUCCUUCUUGUUGUAAACCGCUUUCGCCUGUGACGAAGCGUGUGUGACGUUACUGGGUAAAUAAGCACCGGCUAACUACGUG
rnacentral:rRNA from 1 species